GAUGAACGCCGGCGGCGUGCCUAAUACAUGCAAGUCGAGCGAACGGACGAGAAGCUUGCUUCUCUGAUGUUAGCGGCGGACGGGUGAGUAACACGUGGAUAACCUACCUAUAAGACUGGGAUAACUUCGGGAAACCGGAGCUAAUACCGGAUAAUAUUUUGAACCGCAUGGUUCAAAAGUGAAAGACGGUCUUGCUGUCACUUAUAGAUGGAUCCGCGCUGCAUUAGCUAGUUGGUAAGGUAACGGCUUACCAAGGCAACGAUGCAUAGCCGACCUGAGAGGGUGAUCGGCCACACUGGAACUGAGACACGGUCCAGACUCCUACGGGAGGCAGCAGUAGGGAAUCUUCCGCAAUGGGCGAAAGCCUGACGGAGCAACGCCGCGUGAGUGAUGAAGGUCUUCGGAUCGUAAAACUCUGUUAUUAGGGAAGAACAUAUGUGUAAGUAACUGUGCACAUCUUGACGGUACCUAAUCAGAAAGCCACGGCUAACUACGUG
rnacentral:rRNA from 1 species